UACAGAGACGGCAAGCGUUGUUCGGAUUCACUGGGCGUAAAGGGUCCGCAGGUGGUGAAGCAAGUCUGAUGUGAAAUCCCGCAGCUUAACUGCGGAACUGCAUCGGAUACUACUUCGCUUGAGGAUGGUAGAGGAGUCUGGAAUUCUUGGUGUAGCGGUGAAAUGCGUAGAUAUCAAGAGGAACACCGGUGGCGAAGGCGAGACUCUGGACCAUUCCUGACACUCAGGGACGAAAGCGUGGGGAG
rnacentral:rRNA from 1 species